GUCUACAGCCAUGCCACCCUGAACAAGCCCGAUGUCUGAUCUCGAAAGCUAAGCAGGGUCGGGCCUGGUUAGUACUUGGAUGGAAGAACUCCUAGGAAGACCAGGUGCUUAGGUA
rnacentral:rRNA from 1 species